rnacentral:rRNA from 1 species
UGGGGAAUAUUGGACAAUGGGCGCAAGCCUGAUCCAGCAAUGCCGCGUGGAUGAAGAAGGUCUUCGGAUUGUAAAGUCCUUUCGGCGGGGACGAUGAUGACGGUACCCGCAGAAGAAGCCCCGGCUAACUUCGUGCCAGCAGCCGCGGUAAUACGAAGGGGGCUAGCGUUACUCGGAAUUACUGGGCGUAAAGGGCGCGUAGGCGGCGGCGACAGUCAGGCGUGAAAUUCCUGGGCUUAACCUGGGGGCUGCGCUUGAUACAUCGCUGCUAGAGGACGGAAGAGGGUCGUGGAAUUCCCAGUGUAGAGGUGAAAUUCGUAGAUAUUGGGAAGAACACCGGUGGCGAAGGCGGCGACCUGGUCCGUUACUGACGCUGAGGCGCGACAGCGUGGGGAGCAAACAGG